rnacentral:rRNA from 1 species
GGAUAAUAUUUUGAACCGCAUGGUUCAAAAGUGAAAGACGGUCUUGCUGUCACUUAUAGAUGGAUCCGCGCUGCAUUAGCUAGUUGGUAAGGUAACGGCUUACCAAGGCAACGAUGCAUAGCCGACCUGAGAGGGUGAUCGGCCACACUGGAACUGAGACACGGUCCAGACUCCUACGGGAGGCAGCAGUAGGGAAUCUUCCGCAAUGGGCGAAAGCCUGACGGAGCAACGCCGCGUGAGUGAUGAAGGUCUUCGGAUCGUAAAACUCUGUUAUUAGGGAAGAACAUAUGUGUAAGUAACUGUGCACAUCUUGACGGUACCUAAUCAGAAAGCCACGGCUAACUACGUGCCAGCAGCCGCGGUAAUACGUAGGUGGCAAGCGUUAUCCGGAAUUAUUGGGCGUAAAGCGCGCGUAGGCGGUUUUUUAAGUCUGAUGUGAAAGCCCACGGC